UGGUCUCCUGCUUCAACAGGGCUUGAAUGGAACUG
rfam:Cricetulus griseus cell line CHO-K1, whole genome shotgun sequence.